GCGGGGCUGCUGGGUGCGUCAGGGCGAACAUCCCCAGGGCCAAUAAGCAUCUCCCGGGGGCUGGCUCUGUUGUGGCCGUGGUCACAGUAUCCGGUGCCCACCUGCUCACGCAGGCCUUGGGAGGAUGUCAUUCCAACGGCUUCGGCGGCUCCGCA
rnacentral:other from 1 species